GUCGUUUUACUAGAUAGUCGUUUUUAUGACAUCUGAAACUCUUUAUCAUUGAUCUAAUUUGAUGUUUAGUC
rnacentral:tRNA from 1 species